rnacentral:rRNA from 1 species
UUCUGUUUGAUCCUGGCGGAGGUCACUGCUAUCGGGGUUUGACUAAGCCAUGCGAGUCGAGAGGUUCAAGACCUCGGUGGUACUGCUCAGUAACACGUGGACAAUCUGCCCUGAAGUGGAGAAUAAUCCCGGGAAACUGGGGGUAAUACUCCAUAGUUCGUUAUUACUGGAAUGUUUUUCGAACGAAAGAUCCGUCGCUUCAGGAUGAGUCUGCGGCCGAUUAGGUAGUUGUUGGGGUAAUUGCCCAACAAGCCUGUAAUCGGUACGGGUUGUGGGAGCAAGAGCCCGGAGAUGGAUUCUGAGACACGAAUCCAGGCCCUACGGGGCGCAGCAGGCGCGAAAACUUUACCAUGCGGGCAACCGUGAUAAGGAAACCCCGAGUGCCAGCACAGGCUGGCUGUCCGCCAGUUUAAACAACUGGCGAAGAAAGGGCCGGGCAAGACCGGUGCCAGCCGCCGCGGUAAUACCGGCGGCUCGAGUGGUGGCCGCUAUUACUGGGCUUAAAGGGUCCGUAGCUUGAUAAUAGGGUCCCUUGAGAAAUCCGCCGGCUUAACUGGCGGGCGUUCAGGGGAAACUUGUUUUCUAGGGACCGGGAGAGGUGAGGGGUACUGCCGGGGUAGGAGUGAAAUCCUGUAAUCCCGGUGGGACCACCUAUGGCGAAGGCAUCUCACCAGAACGGGUCCGACAGUGAGGGACGAAAGCUGGGGGAGCAAACCGGAUUAGAUACCCGGGUAGUCCCAGCUGUAAACUAUGUGCGUUAGGUGUGUCAGUGACCACGUGUCACUGAGGUGCCGAAGGGAAACCGUGAAACGCACCGCCUGGGGAGUACGGUCGCAAGGCUGAAACUUAAAGGAAUUGGCGGGGGAGCACCACAACGGGUGGAGCCUGCGGUUUAAUCGGACUCAACGCCGGGAAUCUCACCGGAUAAGACAGCUGAAUGAUAGUCGGGAUGAAGACUCUACUUGACUAGCUGAGAGGAGGUGCAUGGCCGUCGUCAGUUCGUACUGUGAAGCAUCCUGUUUAGUCAGGCAACGAGCGAGACCCA